rnacentral:rRNA from 1 species
UACGUAGGGGGCAAGCGUUGUCCGGAAUCAUUGGGCGUAAAGCGCGUGUAGGCGGCCAGAAAAGUCCGCUGUGAAAACUCGAGGCUCAACUUCGAGCUGUCGGUGGAAACUUUCUGGCUAGAGUCCGGAAGAGGAGAAUGGAAUUCCUGGUGUAGCGGUGAAAUGCGUAGAUAUCGGAAGGAACAUCAGUGGCGAAAGCGACUUCCUGGACCAAUACUGACGCUCAUGUGCGAAAGCGUGGGGAGCAAACAGG